AUUCAUGCUGCUGGUUUUGUUUAUGCAUGCUGCUGGUUUUGUUUAUUCAUGCUGCUGGUUUUGUUUAUUCAUGCUGCUGGUUUUGUUUGCUCGUGCUGCUGGUUUUGUUUAUUCAUGCUGCUGUUUUUGUUUAUUCAUGCUGCUGGUUUUGUUUGCUCGUGCUGCUGGUUUUGUUUGCUGAUGGUUUUGUUUGCUGCUGGUUUUGUUUGCCCAUGCUGCUGGUUGGUUUGAUGCUUACUGACUUGUUGUUCGUCAUUGCUGCAGUGUAUUAGGUUCAAACAGGACCGGAGAUGUUGUGGGGUUGGACCAGUCUGGAGGACUCAUUGUGGUCUUGGGUUCUGGACCAGGGUCUAGUUUGGGUCUGGUGAACUUUGACUUGGUUGAGUAUCUUGAGUUUGGUUUCUGAAUAAUUUGUCGUGUUGGAAAUGGACGAAUUUGGCCGAACGACCGGCAGUGCUGCUGAACUGGGGGCCAUUGGUUCAAUCAAUUGCACAAGCAUCUUGGCCUUGAACUGGUACUUUACGGUGACUUGAAACAUAAAAUGGACGAAUUUCUAUUCAGUUAUUUAUCAUGAAACUUUGUGGCUUACAGCUUAAUAAUUUUAUUUGACAAAUUUGAAAAUGAUCUCAACACUUACAAAAUGUCAGUGCAAACGGCAGCAUUAUCAGCAACGCAAAGUUCAAACGCCAGCAUUAUCAGCGACGCAAAGUUCCGUGCCUUGAAAGGUCUGGAAAUCUGCCACGUCAGCAGAGCGGCCAUUUACACCGGCCCAGACGGAUGCAGACCUUCCAUCUCCUGCUGAGGAGCCGCUCAGGCAGUACCGGCUGGCCCGGGAAGGGAAUUUCUGGACCAGACCUGAGGGUGGGAUGACUCUGAGGAGGAAGACUCACUUCCAUCCAGGAGGAGACCCGGUUCAGCAGAUCCUAGACCUAGAGGAGCAUCAAUGCGUUGAGGGACCCGAACUUCAGAGUGAGAGGCCAGGACCAGGUAGAUCUACCGUUCCAAGUAACCCGAACACCCCCACCUCUCCGUCAGGUGGGCAGCGGCCCACGGCUCCACCCCACCAAGUUGACUCAACCUACCAACGUCUUCCAGUCUGGAGCAGACGCCCUGACCCAACCUGCGCCACCCAGAAUGAAAGCCCCAGAAGUCCCCAGGGAUGAGGAGAUGCUAAGUUACUGGGAGGAGGGUCCCCCUGGGCAGUCCUUAUCUUGGUUUACUCCUCUUCCUCGGAUUGCGUUAGUGUUGUCCUUAUAAGGGCUUGGUGGGUGCUGUCUCUUUUCUGAAGGCGGGACAUCUGAAGGGAUGUCUAGCCAAUUAAAUAGCUUUACAUGAAUAGAAGAUGGAAAACCAUCUAUUGUAAGUCUCUAUUUACUUUUUUGGUUACUUUUCAAUGUUCUCAGCACCUCUGCUGAAUGUAACUUUGUAGCAGAUAGACAAUUGUUGUUUUUUUCAGUCAGCAAAUGUUACUGUGAGUUGUGUUUUUCAUGUGUUGAAUAAAAUG